UAGGGAAUCUUCCGCAAUGGGCGAAAGCUUGACGGAGCAACGCCGCGUGAGUGAUGAAGGUCUUCGGAUCGUAAAACUCUGUUAUUAGGGAAGAACAAAUGUGUAAGUAACUAUGCACGUCUUGACGGUACCUAAUCAGAAAGCCACGGCUAACUACGUGCCAGCAGCCGCGGUAAUACGUAGGUGGCAAGCGUUAUCCGGAAUUAUUGGGCGUAAAGCGCGCGUAGGCGGUUUUUUAAGUCUGAUGUGAAAGCCCACGGCUCAACCGUGGAGGGUCAGUGGAAACUGGAAAACUUGAGUGCAGAAGAGGAAAGUGGAAUUCCAUGUGUAGCAGUGAAAUGCGCAGAGAUAUGGAGGAACACCAGUGGCGAAGGCGACUUUCUGGUCUGUAACUGACGCUGAUGUGCGAAAGCGUGGGGAUCAAACAGG
rnacentral:rRNA from 1 species